GGAGAUUUAGCUCAGUGGUAGAGCGCUUGCCUAGGAAGCUCAAGGCCCUGGGUUCAGUCCCCAGCUCCG
rnacentral:tRNA from 1 species